UUUAAUUAUUAUAAGUUAGCAAUCUUGCGUCAUUCUUCAUUUCAAAAUGAAUUACACGAAUUGUAACAUCCAUGUGACACCCGUUUCAAAAAUAAAGUGCACAGGUAAAUAAAAGAAAAACUUUAUAGUAAUUGUGAUUUCAUGAUCAUAGCGGAAAAAUGUAAUUAUUUCUUUCCUUGGACCAUGAUUUUCAUCUUAAUUGCGGAUUUUUAUUAUUUGUUAACGACACGUGAUUUUGAUCGGUCGUUGAGAGGGGAUAACUCCAUCACAAUAAGUACAUGUUCAAAGUCAUAUGGCUCUCGGACCUAUAUAUUGAUUGUUGUUGUUAACUUUUGUUUUAACUUAAAUGUUUUCGGAGGAGUCGAGCGCAAUUGUUUCGUGUUAUCGUAUGUGCUUUCAAUUUUGUAAUGUAAUU
rnacentral:lncRNA from 1 species